rnacentral:rRNA from 1 species
CACAUGCAAGUCGAACGGUAACAGGAAGCAGCUUGCUGCUUUGCUGACGAGUGGCGGACGGGUGAGUAAUGUCUGGGAAACUGCCUGAUGGAGGGGGAUAACUACUGGAAACGGUGGCUAAUACCGCAUAACGUCGCAAGACCAAAGAGGGGGACCUUCGGGCCUCUUGCCAUCAGAUGUGCCCAGAUGGGAUUAGCUUGUUGGUGAGGUAACGGCUCACCAAGGCGACGAUCCCUAGCUGGUCUGAGAGGAUGACCAGCCACACUGGAACUGAGACACGGUCCAGACUCCUACGGGAGGCAGCAGUGGGGAAUAUUGCACAAUGGGCG